GCGGGGGAAGCGCUGCCGCCGCCGGUGCGAGGAGCGAAGUAGAGGCAGGAACUUCUCCUCCGGGAGCUGGGCGCGCCGCGGGGACAAAGUCCUCGGGGGCUGCGGCGCUCCGCACCCGCGGGCAGAUUGCCAACGCUAAGAAAACAGAGACUUCCAGCAAAAAAUUCUUCAGUUCAUGGAGCAACAAGGGCAGUGUUAGGAAUACAUCCCACCCUUGUGCUUCUGCUCCAAGAUGCAGUGAGAAGAAAGGCAUGCAGAGAGCAAAUAAUUAUGCAAGGCAGGGAGAGCCCAUGCGUCUGAAUGUGUGUCCGGCAGCAGAGCCAGAGAGUCCAUGGAGCAGCGAGGCUGAAACCAGCACCCUGAGGGAGACAGUGUAUCCAAGUGAAUAUUGGGUAGCUUUUCAGUGAAGUGUUAGAAGGAAAAGUUUCAG
ensembl:lncRNA